UUGAAAGGGAAACGAUUGAAGUCAGUCAUACCAACGGGAAAUCAACCUUUUGAGCUCGGUCUCGUGGGUUUUGAAGAGUUUCAAAGCCUUCGGAUUCGCGAGAUUGGGAUCUCUCGGUGUACUUUUUCGUACGGUUAGUCAACAUCGGUUUUGAAUGUCAUAAAAUGACUGGAGGAAUGUAGCUUCGAUCUCGUAUUGAAGUGUUAUAGCCUUUGGUAGAUGUGAUGUUUGAGACCGAGGAUUGCAACGGAUACCCUUCAGGGCUAUUCGUCUGAUCUCUGAUACGUUGCCCUGAUGUUGAAAGUUUGCUUAUGAUGUUAGGGUAUUACGGUCAAAAGGUUAGAACGAAUUACAUUCGUUAAGGAUGUUGACGUA
rnacentral:rRNA from 1 species